UUUUUCGCUGAAUUUCUGCAUGUAUAGAAUGUAGUUGCAGAUUAAAUAAUUACAUGGUUCUGCUCGAUUCAGGAAGGAUUUCAUGUCUGCAGAUAAUGUAUUACAAGAGGCUGUUGUGUGCCAGUGGACAAGCUGGUGAGAAGCUGAACACUAAUAGCUUGAAUCCUGGUGAAUGGACUGCCUGCAUAAGCGUCGUCAUGAUUUUUCCACGUGUAAUAUGAAUGCAAGCCAGUUUGCCUUAAAGCAUCCCUUCUUGGAAAAUAUCUUCUAGUGUUUCAUCACAAAAAUCAGUCAAAAACUGUUUCUCAUGAUUUGAAAAAUACGUAUAAAGGAAGUCAAAUUUAAUUGAUAAAUUGUGCAUGCUGAGAUUGUAUACUAUAUCAUAUACAUUUUUUAAUAUAUUUUCUGUAUCUCUAAUGUUGAGAAUUUUGAUGUUUUAAUUUAACCCUGAAUAAAAUGUUAAGUACUAUAAGCAAAGUAAGCAGUAUUGUAUUUGAUGUCAGAACAAUAUUUUUUUUAUUUUUUAUUUUUAUAUACUUGUAUAUUUUUGCUUAUGAUUGGAAUUUUAGUACAAAUUAUUUUGGCAUGAUGUGGCCUGUUCUCAUUUAAAAUGCAUUUUGUAUUUUUUUUUUUUUUUUUCUUCUGUUAUUUGCAUUAUAAUAGUUUGGCCAUAACAACUAUGGAUGCCAAAUCAACAUGUAUGGGAAUAACUGUAUUAAAUUUUGAGAAAACC
rnacentral:lncRNA from 1 species